rnacentral:rRNA from 1 species
UCGGGAAUUUUGGGCAAUGGGCGAAAGCCUGACCCAGCAACGCCGCGUGAGGGAUGAAGUAUUUCGGUAUGUAAACCUCGAAAGAAUGGGAAGAAUAAAUGACGGUACCAUUUAUAAGCUCCGGCUAACUACGUGCCAGCAGCCGCGGUAAUACGUAGGGAGCAAGCGUUGUUCGGAUUUACUGGGCGUAAAGGGCGCGUAGGCGGCGCGGUAAGUCACUUGUGAAAUCUCUGAGCUUAACUCAGAACGGCCAAGUGAUACUGCUGUGCUAGAGUGCGGAAGAGGCAACCGGAAUUCUUGGUGUAGCGGUGAAAUGCGUAGAUAUCAAGAGGAACACCGGAGGCGAAGGCGGGUUGCUGGGCCGACACUGACGCUGAUGCGCGAAAGCCAGGGGAGCAAACG